AUACGUAGGGGGCGAGCGUUGUCCGGAAUUACUGGGCGUAAAGGGUGCGUAGGUGGCACUUUAAGUUGGAUGUGAAAUCCCCGUGCUUAACAUGGGAGCUGCAUCCAAUACUGGAGAGCUAGAGUGCAGGAGAGGUAAGCGGAAUUCCUAGUGUAGCGGUGAAAUGCGUAGAUAUUAGGAGGAACACCAGUGGCGAAGGCGGCUUACUGGACUGUAACUGACACUGAGGCACGAAAGCGUGGAGAGCAAACAGGAUUAGAUACCCUGGUAGUCCACGCUGUAAACGAUGAAUACUAGGUGUAGGGGGUAUCAACUCCCUCUGUGCCGCAGCAAACGCAAUAAGUAUUCCGCCUGGGGAGUACGGCCGCAAGGUUGAAACUCAAAUGAAUUGACGGGG
rnacentral:rRNA from 1 species